AGGACGAACGCUGGCGGCGUGCUUAACACAUGCAAGUGGAGCGACGAACCAGGGCUUGCCCUGGGGCAGAGCCGCGAACGGGUGAGUAACACGUGGGUUACCUGCCUCGAUGACCGGGACAACCCGAGGAAACUCGGGCUAAUACCGGAUGUGCCCGCAAGGGGAAAGGAAGCUUCGGCCUCCGCAUCGAGAUGGGCCCGCGGCCCAUUAGCUUGUUGGUGAGGUAAUGGCUCACCAAGGCUUCGAUGGGUAGCUGGUCUGAGAGGACGAUCAGCCACACUGGGACUGAGACACGGCCCAGACUCCUACGGAGGCAGCAGUGGGGAAUCUUGCGCAAUGCGCGAAAGCGUGACGCAGCAACGCCGCGUGGGGAAGAAGGCUUUCGGGUGUAAACCCCUUUCAGUUGGGACGAAGCUUCUCCGGUGAAUAGCCGGACGGAGUGACGGUACCUUCACAAGAAGCACCGGCUAACUACGUGCCAGCAGCCGCGGU
rnacentral:rRNA from 1 species